rnacentral:lncRNA from 1 species
GUCCAUCUGAGAAGUGCAUCUGAAAAGCAGUGUGACUGAAAUUUUGCUGAAUUGAUCCGCACAAAGCCGUCAUUCUGAGACACGCGGUGAGCUCAUUGGUAAGGAAUCGCACCGGGGGCCAUUCCCGGCCUCUGAUUGGCUGCCGAGGAUGACCAUUAGGGGUGAGGUCGCGGCCCCGCCAGGAGAGAACAUCGUGUGAAACACGGGUGUUUGCCUCGCCGGUGCCG